rnacentral:lncRNA from 1 species
UCCGACACCUGGGUCAGACUGCUGAAGGGAAGUGGCUCGAGGACAAGUCCAGUCAGCUGCCACCACCUUCGGAGUGAAGGGGAAGUCACACCCUCCCAAGCCUGGACUGGAAUUUUAGUACACGGUGGCAUGCCUUCCCCUUACGGCCUUUGACUUGAGAUGCAAAAGGUAUUUUCUCCACGUGGGUGAUAUUUUCUGCGAUGGAAGCUGUGUCCCCAUCACCAUGGGAACUUUGUGAACACUAAGGGUUCCUAUGAGCUCCUCCUUUUCAAAUUCAAAUGCAGCUGACUUCCUUUCUCCCCUGGUUCUGGUCAGGCCAGGGCCCAGUGCCAAGGGCUCCCUUCAUGCCCUGCCCUCUCCCUUUCCUCUAGAGCAGAGGGUGGCGGCUGGUGCUGUUAGCACUGAUGGGUUUGUGCCUCUCCCGGAGAGGGCAGCUGGGUCCUUUGAUGAUCUGACUGUACGAGAAACUCUGUGCUGCCAAAGGAACUUGCUCAGACUGGAACCAGCUCUCCCCAUCUGCAUCUGCGCUUCCUUGCUCAGCCCCUCACUGCUGUGGAAGCCUUCAGAAUGGCAGGAAGUGGGAUCACCAGGAAGUAGAGAUCCACAUCCUCUGGUUCUUAAGUUUCUUGCUGUCUUGGAUUUAUUUGCAAGUAAAGUUGGAAAAAUAUGAGAAAAAUUGCGUGAAGGAGUGGAGGGCUUUGGUGUAAGCGUAAGACCUAAGGGCUGGGCAGGGCUUGCUUCCUCUGUACAGAUGGAGGUGAACAUGCUGGACUAUCGAAAAACCUGGGCAGCUCUGAGCGGCAUGGCCCCGUGUGGCCCCUGCUGUGGCUCCUGCAGCUCCCCUGGAUCAAGGAUAGGUGGGUGGGGCAGCAGGUGGGUCUGGGAAGCUGUGUUUUUAAAGCAUUUCAGCACGGGUCACAGGAGAACUUGUACCUGCUGGGACUCAGUCCCACAGGACGCUCAGGGUCCCCCUUUUCCCUCUUCACCUUAGUUAGGGCUGGGAAGGGAAGGGAGAGGGGAAGAGAGAAUAAUUAACACAUUUUGUAACACAUUCUCUGCUUGAGGUCAUUGUACCUGACACACUCAGUGUAAACUUCUUUUACAAAAAUCUCUGCUUGGGCAAAGCGCUCUCCACCUCACAGCCCAGCUUGACUGGAAAGCCGCCUCAGAAGCGAGGCUCGCUGUGAGACAAGCGCAUGGGUCUCCACCAAGACUUCCAGAUCUGGGCCUGGAGCCAUGCGCCCUCCCUGCGGUUCCUGUGUUACACGCGUCUCUCCCAGGAGUUGCCACCCUGGGGCUGGGGUGGACAGCAAUCCACAUCCACUGGGAUGUGGCCUUCGGAACUAAGGACCCAAGGCUGCAUCCAUUUGGCAAGAACCUCCACUGGCCACAGGACUCUUGGCAACCUGUUGAGACUGGCUGUCAUUUGCACAGAAACCAUCAGUGACCAUUCAGAGAUUUUAAAGGACACAGCAACAUUUGCACUUGAGAGAAAAAAAUGUGAGCAUGACACCUGUGCCCCUGGGCUGCCACAGUUCUGCCCUGGCACUUGGGGUGGAGGAGACAGUCCUCUUCCUGUGGCCCCUGUAUGCUCUGUGCAGACCCUGUGGGGGUCACUGCAGGUUCUCUUCAUGUCUCACACUGCUCAGCCCCCCUUUCUGGUCUCUAUUUAAAUUCUCCUGUUGGUGGCAACACGUGGCUUCAUCCCUAGGAUGCCCUGACCUUAGGAUGGCAGAUAAGGAAGGCAGUCCCCGCUGAUGACAGCAGCCCCUUCCUUUGUGGCGAGUGGAGCUCUUUUUCCAUUCCUAUUGAGAAGCCAGCGUCCGGGGUCUGGCCACCCCCUCAGACAGUGAAGCCUUAGACUAUCAGCUAUGGCUGAGCCCCCCGGGAACCCUCAGGAAAAGGGUAGUUUGUUGAUGGCCACCUGGCUGGUGAGUGUUUCCACUGCUGCAGCCUCUGAGCCCCCAAACUAAGAUCCUCACAUCUCAAGCUAGUGGCAGCAUAAAUGGGAGAAGGGAGAAAGCCUUUGAGGGACCGGAGAAGGCACACAUCACAGUUCACAGCAAUGUCACCUGCAUGAGUCUCACAGGGCUGGGGCUGAGGACAGGGAGCUGGGCUGUCCCCUGCUGCCUGCUGGGCAGGGCCCGUGACUCAGUGACAGAGCCAUACGUCUCCCUGGAGAUUCCCCUGCUACCUUCCCCUAUCAUGAGGGCAAAACUGUGGAGUAAAAAUGUGAACCACACCCAAGUGCUGCUGUAUCCACUGUGGCGAUGAGCCAUGCUGGGAAUGAAUUGGUUCCCUCUCAAAGGCACUGACUCUUUCCUUCCUAAGCAUCAGCCUUUGGCUGGGCCGAUUUUCACCAAACAGCCUUCCAGUUGAUGGACGAAAUCACCAGGUACUUCUUUCCAAGCCUCUUUGUCUAUAAAUAUUUCUGGGAAAACUAAGAGAACAGAUGAGAUUUAACAACAAAAAUAGUUACCAAAUUCAAAAUAACUCAGCUUUUAAAAAUGCAAAUAUAGGAAAGCCUUUUCCUAUUAUUCAUCUUACCUUCUCCAUUGUCUGAGUUUGGAAAACAGGAAAACCCUGCUUUCUAGCACCCGCUGAAUGGUUUCAUGGCCCUGCAUAUUUCCAUCACCUUGAACAAUAGUGCAGCAUGGGACUCUAAAUAUGAUCCCUGAAAACAGCUGUCUCUUCUAUGGCUCCAAAACACACCUAAGUCAGCGUGGUCUGUGGAGCUGGUCAGUGAGACAAAGAGGGCAAUGAUCCAAAAUCUCCAAGUAUUCAGUAAUCAAAGGCCUCAUUCACUCCGGUUUCCCAAGACAGACACUAACAGAAAGGCUGGUUUAAAACACGGUGUGCCCCUGCCCUGCCCUGGAGAGAGUGCCCGCUCCUCCUGUCUCCCAUCUGGGACAUGGUGAUUCAUGGUCCUUUUCAGAUUUGCUGAGGGUCUGCAGAUUGGGCUUCAGUGUGAAUUAGACAACAGUCAAGGUUUGUUCUGUGAUGUGGUAUGGAAUGUAAGUGUUUGCAAUUGCUUCCUGAACCCAAAAUGAGAAUGUAAAUGUUCAAAAAUAUGUGUAUUUGAAGUGUGAUUGGCUAAUUCUGGACUUGCAGGGUUUCUGAGCAGCACUGGUUUGCUUCCUGGGUAAACGUUUCCCAGGCGUGGUGGUGCGUGGGGGCGUUACUGAGGCUCCAACCAAAGGUCCUGCCAAGUGUGGCUAUUUCACAUGGAGCUUUCUGUUAUUCAUCUAUGCUAAUAAACUCCAG